UACGGAGGGUGCAAGCGUUGUUCGGAAUUACUGGGCGUAAAGGGCGCGUAGGUGGUUGUGUAAGUCAGAUGUGAAAUCCCGAGGCUCAACUUCGGAACUGCAUCUGAUACUGCAUGACUCGAGUGCAGCAGAGGGAAACGGAAUUCCUGGUGUAGAGGUGAAAUUCGUAGAUAUCAGGAGGAACACCGGUGGCGAAGGCGGUUUCCUGGGCUGACACUGACACUGAGGCGCGAAAGCGUGGGUAGCAAACAGG
rnacentral:rRNA from 3 species